rnacentral:rRNA from 1 species
UCAGAAUGAACGCUGGCGGCGUGCUUAACACAUGCAAGUCGCACGAGAACGCUUCAGCUUGCUGAAGUUAGUAUAGUGGCGCAGGGGUGAGUAACGCGCGGGUAAUCUGCCCUCGAAUUGGGGAUAACAUUGCGAAAGCGAUGCUAAUACCGAAUAAUAUCUUAAGUACCUUGGUUAUGUAGAUCAAAGAUGGCCUCUUCUUGAAAGCUAUCGUUUGGGGAUGAGCCCAUGCACCAUUAGCUUGUUGGUAGGGUAAAGGCCUACCAAGGCGACGAUGGUUAGCUGGUCUGAGAGGAUGAUCAGCCACACUGGAACUGACACACGGUCCAGACUCCUACGGGAGGCAGCAGUGAGGAAUUUUGCGCAAUGGGGGAAACCCUGACGCAGCAACGCCGCGUGAGUGAUGAAGGCUUUUGGGUCGUAAAGCUCUUUCAGUAGGGAAGAAGUCGAUUAUAGUUAAUACCUAUAGAUUUGAUGGUACUUAAUGAAUAAGCCCCGGCUAACUACGUGCCAGCAGCCGCGGUAAUACGUAGGGGGCGAGCGUUGUCCGGAAUUACUGGGCGUAAAGAGCGUGUAGGUGGUUGGAAAAGUCAGGUGUGAAAUGUCUCGGCUCAACCGGGUCACGGCGCCUGAAACUUUCUGACUGGAGUUCGGGAGGGGUAAUCGGAAUUCCUGGUGUAACGGUGAAAUGUAUAGAUAUCAGGAGGAACACCGGUGGCGAAGGCGGAUUACUGGACCGAAACUGACACUGAGACGCGAAAGCGUGGGGAGCAAACAGGAUUAGAUACCCUGGUAGUCCACGCCGUAAACGAUGAGAGCUAGGUGUAAGGGGUAUCGACUCCCCUUGUGCCGCAGUUAACGCAUUAAGCUCUCCGCCUGGGGAUGUAUGCCCGCAAGGGUGAAACUCAAAGGAAUUGACGGGGGCCCGCACAAGCGGUGGAGCAUGUGGUUUAAUUCGAUGAUACGCGAGGAACCUUACCUGGUCUUGACAUGUAGAGAAUCUCUGGAGACAGAGAGUGCCUGCUUGCAGGAGCCUAAACACAGGUGGUGCAUGGUUGUCGUCAGCUCGUGUCGUGAGAUGUUGGGUUAAGUCCCGCAACGAGCGCAACCCUUGUUGCUAGUUACCAGCGCAUAAUGGCGGGGACUCUAGCGAGACUGCCGGUGACAAACCGGAGGAAGGUGGGGAUGACGUCAAAUCAUCACGCCCCUUACGACCAGGGCCACACACGUGCUACAAUGCCUAGUACAACGAGUUGCGAACCCGCGAGGGCAAGCCAAUCUCUUAAAGCUAGGCCAAGUUCGGAUUGGAGGCUGCAAUUCGCCUCCAUGAAGCUGGAAUCGCUAGUAAACGUGGAUCAUCAUGCCGCGUUGAAUACGUUCUCGGGCCUU